rnacentral:piRNA from 1 species
UGACUUACAUUCACAAAUGAUAUGGAGGU